rnacentral:rRNA from 1 species
ACGCACGCUGGCGGCGUGCUUAACACAUGCCAGUCGAACGGUGAAGCGCCUUCCUUUUUGGUGGGUGUGGAUGAGUGGCGAACGGGUGAGUAACACGUGAGUAACCUGCCCCCUUCUUCUGGAUAACCGCAUGAAAGUGUGGCUAAUACGGGAUAUUCUGGGUCUGUCGCAUGAUGGGUCUGGGAAAGAUAUUGUUUCGGUGGGGGAUGGGCUCGCGGCCUAUCAGCUUGUUGGUGGGGUGAUGGCCUACCAAGGCGGUGACGGGUAGCCGGCCUGAGAGGGUGGACGGUCACACUGGGACUGAGACACGGCCAAGACUCCUACGGGAGGCAGCAGUGGGGAAUAUUGCACAAUGGGCGCAAGCCUGAUGCAGCGACGCCGCGUGAGGGAUGGAGGCCUUCGGGUUGUGAACCUCUUUCGCCAGUGAAGCAGGCCUGCCUCGUUUGUGGGUGGGUUGACGGUAGCUGGAUAAGAAGCGCCGGCUAACUACGUG